AUGAACGCUGGCGGCGUGCUUAACACAUGCAAGUCGAACGAUUAAAGCUCACUUCGGUGAGUGUAUAGAGUGGCGAACGGGUGAGUAACACGUGGGAAACCUGCCCCUUUCUUCGGGAUAACUUCGGGAAACCGUUGCUAAUACCGGAUACUCCGGGAUGGCCGCAUGGCCGACCCGGGAAAGCUUUAUGUGGAAAGGGAUGGUCCCGCGGCCCAUUAGCUUGUUGGUGGGGUAAUGGCCUACCAAGGCGAUGAUGGGUAGCCG
rnacentral:rRNA from 1 species